rnacentral:rRNA from 1 species
GUGAGGAAUAUUGCGCAAUGGAGGCAACUCUGACGCAGCCAUGCCGCGUGCAGGAAGAAGGCGCUACGCGUUGUAAACUGCUUUUAACCGGGAAGAAACCCCAGGACGUGUCCUGGGUUGACGGUACCGGAGGAAUAAGCACCGGCUAACUUCGUGCCAGCAGCCGCGGUAAUACGAAGGGUGCAAGCGUUAUCCGGAUUCAUGGGGUUUAAAGGGUGCGUAGGCGGAGCGUUAAGUCAGUGGUGAAAUCCUGCAGCUUAACUGUAGACUUGCCAUUGAUACUGGCGCUCUUGAGUGCGCUUGAAGUGGGCGGAAUGUGCCGUGUAGCGGUGAAAUGCUUAGAUAUGGCACAGAACACCGAUAGCGAAGGCAGCUUGCUGAACCAUUAUUGACGCUGAGGCACGAAAGCGUGGGGAGCGAACAGGAUUAGAAACCCUAGUAGUCC